CUUUAAUAUGUUAUGAAGUAAAAUUAAUUUGAAAUAAUUACUUCCAAAAACAAAAUUGAAGAUGUCAUAUGUAGUUUGUUUUAAAUUAUGGAACAGCGAAAUGGGAUAAAUUCAUCAAAUCUAUUAUUAGGCAUUUGUAAAAUCCCGAAAUACGUGAAUUUCACAUUUUAACAUGGCAUAUAUUUUAAAAUGAUAAUUUCAUUCCUCAUUCCGUUUCCUUUGAAUGACAGUCGCAGCCUCAAAAUGUUUGAAAAGGAAGUAGGAACUUGUGAUAGAGGAAUAAUUUUACUUCAAGAGCUGGCUAUAUUCUUUCAUUACUUCCUAAGCCAAAAGCGAGCUCUGGUGAUGAGGAAGAAAAUGAAGAAAAUUUGGAAAGUGAAGAUGUAUUACUUCAGGCAGCGAGCAAAUUUUUAGAUGUAUACGUUGAAGAACGUUUUUAUGCAUAGGAU